UUCCGGUUGAUCCCGCCAGACCUGACUGCUAUCGGAUUGAUACUAAGCCAUGCGAGUCGUUGUAGCAAUACAAGGCAUACGGCUCAGUAACGCGUAGUCAACCUAACCUAUGGACGGGAAUAACCUCGGGAAACUGAGAAUAAUGCCCGAUAGAACAUUAUGCCUGGAAUGGUUUAUGUUCCAAAUGAUUUAUCGCCAUAGGAUGGGACUGCGGCCUAUCAGUUUGUUGGUGAGGUAAUGGCCCACCAAGACUAUUACAGGUACGGGCUCUGAGAGGAGUAGCCCGGAGAUGGGUACUGAGACACGGACCCAGGCCCUAUGGGGCGCAGCAGGCGAGAAAACUUUGCAAUGUGCGAAAGCACGACAAGGUUAAUCCGAGUGAUUUCUGCUAAAGAGAUCUUUUGUUAGUCCUAGAAACACUAACGAAUAAGGGGUGGGCAAGUUCUGGUGUCAGCCGCCGCGGUAAAACCAGCACCUCAAGUGGUCAGGAUGAUUAUUGGGCCUAAAGCAUCCGUAGCCGGCUCUGUAAGUUUUCGGUUAAAUCUGUACGCUCAACGUACAGGCUGCCGGGAAUACUGCAGAACUAGGGAGUGGGAGAGGUAGACGGUACUCGGUAGGAAGUGGUAAAAUGCUUUGAUCUAUCGAUGACCACCUGUGGCGAAGGCGGUCUACCAGAACACGUCCGACGGUGAGGGAUGAAAGCUGGGGGAGCAAACCGGAUUAGAUACCCGGGUAGUCCCAGCUGUAAACUAUGCAAACUCAGUGAUGCAUUGGCUUGUGGCCAAUGCAGUGCUGCAGGGAAGCCGUUAAGUUUGCCGCCUGGGAAGUACGUACGCAAGUAUGAAACUUAAAGGAAUUGGCGGGGGAGCACCACAAGGGGUGAAGCCUGCGGUUCAAUUGGAUUCAACGCCGGG
rnacentral:rRNA from 1 species